rnacentral:rRNA from 1 species
AACCAAACUAUACUCUUCUUCAUCAAAUCUAUCUACAAACACAGAUCCAACAAAGGGACUUGCUGGAGGAACUUGAUGGCUUCUUCACCAAUUCCUGCCGGAACCAAUGAGGAAUCAGAUCCCCCAAAUGUAAGCCAUCUUGUUUCCAUUGCGUUCUUCCUUUUUCUCUGACCCAACUGUCUUCUCCCAAUCCUGCAAUGAAACAGAUCUAUGACUUUCAGGUUUUUGUGAUUGCUGUCACUGGGACCACGUAGCAAAAUGAAACUAGAUAGCAGAUGCGUAUAUGUCUUACUCCUAGUGCGUAAUAUCCAGCUAACAUGUCUUGCACAGAUCGCACAAUACAAAGUUGUAUUACUGAUGGGUACAUAUAAAUGAAAAUCUGACACUGAUGUUGUACAUAUAAGAGAAAUGUAAUGGUUCGAGGGGCAAAGACAUACCUCCGAUAAGUUGAGAAUGCGUACUCAGAAGAUUGAAAUUAUUAACAACCUUGUUCAGAAUGGGAAAACAACACAGAUUCCACUCAUUUCCGUUCCACUGUGACAUUGAAA